rnacentral:rRNA from 1 species
GAAGGGGGCUAGCGUUGCUCGGAAUGACUGGGCGUAAAGGGCGCGUAGGCGGCGCAUUUGGUCAGGCGUGAAAUUCCUGGGCUUAACCUGGGGACUGCGCUUGAGACGGGUGUGCUGGAGGGCAGGAGAGGCUCGCGGAAUUCCCAGUGUAGAGGUGAAAUUCGUAGAUAUUGGGAAGAACACCGGUGGCGAAGGCGGCGAGCUGGCCUGUACCUGACGCUGAGGCGCGACAGCGUGGGGAGCAAACAGGAUUAGAUACCCUGGUAGUCCACGCCGUAAACGAUGUGCGCUGGAUGUUGGGCGGCCUAGCCGUUCAGUGUCGUAGCCAACGCGGUAAGCGCACCGCCUGGGGAGUACGGCCGCAAGGUUG